CACAUCGAGUGCUGUGGAGAUGUCUGGGUAGGAGAACGGCUGUGGGUGAGUUUUCUGUGAGAGGCAAAGGCAGGAGAAUUCUGUCCCAUUGUGUUGCCUGGAACUCUCCACCUGGGGAACUCAGAAGUUGUUCAUAAUCACACAUGAGGUAGCACAGGGUGUGUGGAAAAGUGCUUUUGUGGUAAAUGUAAAACAGAAAAUGUGAUAGCUAUGUGGAAGCAAACUUUAGAUAGCUAUGUGGAAGCAAAAAACAAAAUUGGUGACCUAGCAUAGUUGUAUAGUGAGUGACUCUUUAGAUUCUGACAUUGAUUUCUUGGAAUACUGUAGUGUUAGGUACUCAGAAACAAUUGUACAUACACAGUAACCUAGGUGGUUGAACUGACCCCUUCUUUUCUUUCUAAGGGUUGAAACAAGCAGUGGGAGCUUUCUUAAUCAUGAUGUUUUGGUAUCUUGUUCAGCCCAUUUUUUGGCGCUGGCCAUCGCAGCAGGUCAGGGUGUGGUGUUUUUAACAACACUCUUAUGGACAUCUACUUUGUGUUUAUGAUGAUCUUUUCAGGUAUCACGGUAAAUCUUAAAACCAUGGCACCUCGGCUCGUGUGGCUUCAGUAUUUCAGUAUUCUGUACUACGGUUUCAUGGCUUUGCAACAUAAUGAAUUUUUGGGAGAAGACUAUUGUGUAGGACUCAAUACAAAAGAAAGCAGUAGCUGUCCCAACUAAGUAAUGUAAGUUUUUGUUCAGUGUUGUAACGCAUUUGCUUAUUACUGCAGUAUGAUGUAGGAUGCCCUGCAGCUGUAGAGCUGGAAAGGUCCUUCCAAGGUCCAUCAAUCAUUCUGGACCUGUGUUUUCUUAAUCAUAAGCUGAGUCCUUGUGUAGCAAUGAUGUGACCACGCUGUAUUUGCACUCUGACGCAGUCAACGUAUAUUUAACAUACAGAAAUAUUUUGGGUCCUUUGAAAGAUUGUUUUCCUGUUUUGAUUGUGGCUGUUAGUUCUUCUCAGGACAUUUCCAUUUAAACUGAGCUGCUUUCAGUUUAGCAAGGGUUCGCACUUUUGUGCACUAAAUGGAUCAUAUGCUACGUAUGAGCUGAAAACAUGGACGAUGGUGAGACUCGGACGGGCAGUAGUGACUUACACAGGGCGAUCAUUGCCCUACCAGGACUCUGCACUUCCCUUUGCCUCACACUUUCUGAAAACACCAUAAAAUCAAAGGAUGAACUGCUCUGUACAUGUGUGUGUGUGUGAACUAGGAAUACUCCCUGUCAUAGGAGCAUCAUAUCCCCUAAAGAAAGAAGCACAUAUUUCAUAAGUUGAGAAGGAAAUUUUACUUUUGAAUAAUAUGAUUGAAGCAAAUACAGGC